CACAUACAAGUGUCAUUGUCUUUCCCUCAUCCCUAUUUCACAUCCCUCUACUAGAUGCUCAUAGUCCUUGGUCUAGCCCUAACAUAUGAAUUGAAUGGUAGAUUUAGGGGGUAACAUAAACAUACAUUUGUUUCCAAGGCAAAAUGAUUCUGGCGCCUUUAAAAACUCAAGUGAGUCAAACAGGCCACUGAUCUGCAGAUAAUGGGGCUUUAGAUAGAAAUUACAGUCAGCUGGUUGGACAGAGCAGGCAGCGCUUCCACAGGCUUCUAUGAAAAGAGGCUCAAUGAAGUGGGAAAGUCAAGAAAUGGAGACCAAGGAACAGAAAGCAAAGACAAUGAAACCUGGCUCUGGCCUGAGUGACAGUGGGUAGGAGGAGCUUGGAAGCAUCCUGAGCCCACCCCAGCUCCCACCUUAGCCUUGAGAGCAUCCUGAGCCCACCCCAGCUCCCACCUUAGCCUCUGACUCUCCACAGCUGAGACCCAGCAAAGCCAAGCUACUGAGCAGAUCUACAGUGCCUCAGCAAAAAAGAAACCAACCGAGUGAAUGCUGUCCCCAUUUUAAGACCCAAAUUCAACCUGAGGGGGCCUCGGCCUGCUUCUGCGGGUUUCCUCCAGUACUGCCAGGAAGUGGUCAGCCCAGCUCUACGUGCAGCGGCUAACACGGACUUGGAAUAGACAGACUUAGAACCCGACUCUGAUGCCACCGUUCACAUCAUCCCAGGCCUCUUCUGUACAUGCCACGCACUGACUGGAGCUCUUGGCUUCUAAUUUCACCGCCCUCAUUACAAACCUCGAAAAUAACUGUUAGCUUCCCUCUGUUCAGAUGAGGGUGUUCAAGUUCAGAAGUUCCCAAGCUGCGGCUGAGGUCACACAGCAGCGAAGUGUACUAGACUGGAAUGCAGACCCUACCCCAGGGCUGUCCUGCCCUGUGCCUCCUCCCCAUCAGCAGAUGGCGGCUAUCCCGUUUGAAUGUGCGGUUUGCUGAUUCCCAGCAAAGCUCAUCGUUCUCAGAUGCCAUUCGUCAUUUGUUCUUUAGCAGCUUCUACAGAGAGAUGGGGUGAGUCCGCCCCCCACACAUCAUUUACCCAUCACGUGUCUGCACAGCCUCCUCCCAGGAGACCCCAUCCCAUCUUGUUGAUUGCACCAAGAUGUCAGUUUAUAGAAGAACAUUGCCUUACUUUCUUCCUCCUCCUUCCUGCUGACAUAAGGGAACAAAACGUUUUCUAUAACUUUAUAUCAUCUUUUCACAUCAUUCAUUCAUGUGAUUUGGCUCUUUGAUUGGCUUGGAAUGUCUGUCAUGAGUGACAAUGAGCUCAGGUGAUGACAAGUCACAAAAACAUCAUUAUUUGACCACUUACCAAGAAUGUAUUUGUCUGGUUGGUUGGCUGAACUUUUUUGUUUUGUUUUGUUUUAUCUGGCUUGGUUUGGUUUGGUUUCGAGACAGUGUCUUGCUGUGUAACCCAGGUUUGUUGAACUUACUUUGGAUCUUCCUGCCUCUGUUUCUUGAAUGCUAGGAUUACAAGCAUGUACCAUUGCCAAUCCCGCUCUGCCCUACCACCCAUCUCCUUCAAAUUUCCCUUCUGUUGGGACUCAAAUGUGGAAGUGUUUUGUAAAUAUGUGAUCCAAACAGUAUGGCUAGCCUUUGAGACUGCUCUUUCAUGAUAUCCAGCAACACCUUUAAAACUCCAUUGAUUUACUAAACAAAGCUGCUUUUUAUCUAAUAAAUCUAAACUUGAGUCACCCAAUUUUCAAACACACCCCAGUACCUGCAUU